UGGGGAAUAUUGGACAAUGGGGGCAACCCUGAUCCAGCCAUGCCGCGUGAGUGACGAAGGCCCUAGGGUUGUAAAGCUCUUUUGUGCGGGAAGAUAAUGACGGUACCGCAAGAAUAAGCCCCGGCUAACUUCGUGCCAGCAGCCGCGGUAAUACGAAGGGGGCUAGCGUUGCUCGGAAUCACUGGGCGUAAAGGGUGCGUAGGCGGGUUUCUAAGUCAGAGGUGAAAGCCUGGAGCUCAACUCCAGAACUGCCUUUGAUACUGGAAGUCUUGAGUAUGGCAGAGGUGAGUGGAACUGCGAGUGUAGAGGUGAAAUUCGUAGAUAUUCGCAAGAACACCAGUGGCGAAGGCGGCUCACUGGGCCAUUACUGACGCUGAGGCACGAAAGCGUGGGGAGCAAACAGGAUUAGAUACCCUGGUAGUCCACGCCGUAAAACGAUGAAUGCCAGCCGUUAGUGGGUUUUACUCACUAGUGGCGCAGCUAACGCUUUAAGCAUUCCGCCUGGGGAGUACGGUCGCAAGAUUAAAACUCAAAUGAAUUGACGGGGUCAUAGCUG
rnacentral:rRNA from 1 species